GGAAUAUUGCACAAUGGGGGAAACCCUGAUGCAGCCAUGCCGCGUGUGUGAAGAAGGCCUUCGGGUUGUAAAGCACUUUCAGUAGGGAGGAAAGGGUGUAGUUUAAUACGCUAUAUCUGUGACGUUACCUACAGAAGAAGGACCGGCUAACUCCGUGCCAGCAGCCGCGGUAAUACGGAGGGUCCGAGCGUUAAUCGGAAUUACUGGGCGUAAAGCGUGCGCAGGCGGUUUGUUAAGCGAGAUGUGAAAGCCCUGGGCUCAACCUAGGAAUAGCAUUUCGAACUGGCGAACUAGAGUCUUGUAGAGGGGGGUAGAAUUCCAGGUGUAGCGGUGAAAUGCGUAGAGAUCUGGAGGAAUACCGGUGGCGAAGGCGGCCCCCUGGACAAAGACUGACGCUCAUGCACGAAAGCGUGGGGAGCAAACAGGAUUAGAUACCCGGG
rnacentral:rRNA from 1 species